AAUAGAUACCCUGGUAGUCCACGCCGUAAACGGUGGGCACUAGGUGUGGGCGACAUUCCACGUCGUCCGUGCCGCAGCUAACGCAUUAAGUGCCCCGCCUGGGGAGUACGGCCGCAAGGCUAAAACUCAAAGGAAUUGACGGGGGGCCCGCACAAGCGGCGGAGCAUGUGGCUUAAUUCGACGCAACGCGAAGAACCUUACCAAGGCUUGACAUACACCGGAAACGUCCAGAGAUGGGCGCCCCCUUGUGGUCGGUGUACAGGUGGUGCAUGGCUGUCGUCAGCUCGUGUCGUGAGAUGUUGGGUUAAGUCCCGCAACGAGCGCAACCCUCGUCCCGUGUUGCCAGCAGGCCCUUGUGGUGCUGGGGACUCACGGGAGACCGCCGGGGUCAACUCGGAGGAAGGUGGGGACGACGUCAAGUCAUCAUGCCCCUUAUGUCUUGGGCUGCACACGUGCUACAAUGGCCGGUACAAUGAGCUGCGAUACCGCGAGGUGGAGCGAAUCUCAAAAACGCCGGUCUCAGUUCGGAUUGGGGU
rnacentral:rRNA from 1 species